rnacentral:rRNA from 1 species
UACGAAGGGGGCUAGCGUUGUUCGGAAUUACUGGGCGUAAAGCGCGCGCAGGCGGCUAUCCCAGUCAGUGGUGAAAGCCCGGGGCUCAACUCCGGAACUGCCGUUGAAACUGUUUAGCUUGAGGACGAGAGAGGUGAGUGGAAUUCCCAGUGUAGAGGUGAAAUGCGUAGAGAUUGGGAAGAACACCGGUGGCGAAGGCGGCUCACUGGCUCGUAUCUGACGCUGAGGCGCGACAGCGUGGGGAUCAAACAGG